rnacentral:rRNA from 1 species
GAUGAACGCUAGCGACAGGCUUAACACAUGCAAGUCGAGGGGCAUCACGGGAGUAGCAAUACAACUGGUGGCGACCGGCGCACGGGUGAGUAACGCGUAUGCAACCUACCUAUCAGAGGGGAAUAACCCGGCGAAAGUCGGACUAAUACCGCAUAAAACAGGGGCACCGCAUGGUGAUAUUUGUUAAAGAAAUUCGCUGAUAGAUGGGCAUGCGUUCCAUUAGGUAGUUGGUGAGGUAACGGCUCACCAAGCCGACGAUGGAUAGGGGAACUGAGAGGUUGGUCCCCCACACUGGUACUGAGACACGGACCAGACUCCUACGGGAGGCAGCAGUGAGGAAUAUUGGUCAAUGGGCGGGAGCCUGAACCAGCCAAGUCGCGUGAAGGAAGAAGGAUCUAUGGUUCGUAAACUUCUUUCGCAGGGGAAUAAAGUGCAGGACGUGUCCUGUUUUGUAUGUACCCUGAGAAUAAGGAUCGGCUAACUCCGUGCCAGCCGCCGCCGUAAAAC